UCUUCCGAUCUUGUGAAUUCAUUUCUGAGUCUUCAGUUCUGUCCCAUUGGUCCUCAGGCCUGUUCUUGUGCCAAUAUCAAGCUGUUUUUAUUACUGUAGCUAUGUAGUACAACUUAAAGUGUGGUAUUGAUGUUCCUCCUGCACUGUUCUUUCUACUUAGAUUUGUUUUGCUGUUUGUGGUUUCUACCGUUUCAUAGGAAUUUCUGAAUUGCUUCCUCUAUUUCGUUGAAGAAUGAUGUUAGGAU